rnacentral:rRNA from 1 species
UACAGUGAUUGCAAGCGAUAUCCGGAUUGAUUGGGCGUAAAGGGUUCGUAGGUGGUUUGGAAAGUCUACUGUCAAAGACCAGAGCUUAACUUUGGGAAGGCGGUAGAGUACUACUAAACUUGAGUACGGUAGGGGCAGAGGGAAUUCCCUAAGUAGCAGUGAAAUGCGUAGAUAUAGGGAGGAACACCAGAGGCGAAGGCGCUCUGCUGGGCCGUUACUGACACUGAGGGACGAAAGCUAGAGGAGCAAAAAGG